rnacentral:lncRNA from 10 species
CCCCUAAGAAGCCUUCUCUGACCACUCCAGGGCACAAUGAUCUCAAGGUUCAGCAUCUCCAGAGAUGAGCUUUCCAAAUACCUGAUGAAGAUAUGCAUGUGAGAAGGAAUUAAUGACAGGCAUUAACACUAUAUUGGCCAGAGGACUCAUUAGCUGAUUCCGCAGGUUUUAUAAUAUGCUACUCUUGCUAAUAUACACCACUAUUUUUCUUAAUUACAAAUGCAACAUGGAACUCAGGUGUUUAGGGCUAUGAAAAGAAAAAAUGGGCAACAUUUAUAGCCAGAAAUUUCUGUAAUAAGUUUCACAAAAUAUUUUGUUACACUCUUAAAAUAUAUUACAUCAAUUAUCCUGUGCUAGAAUAUGUUGUAAGGACACUCACUUGAGACGUAAUCAGUCUGAAUACUCGCAGAGUCUCAGCUUCACAGUUCCUCUGCUGGGCCACACUGGCUGAAAUCUGGCCAGCUAUUUUUGUGCUUUCACCAUCUUUCCAGCCCAGGACUUUGACUUGUCGAACUCUCAGUGUAUUUUCUGGGCCUUUUAAUUCAAUUUUUAUGAUGUGAUUAUCCCCUCCUGGAAGUUCACUUGUUACCCAGCCAAUGUGCCUGGAAUCCAGAUCAACCUGGUUGAGUAGAAAAGAGGCAGGAACCUGAUUCAGCUGGAUCACUUUUAUCACUGUGCUGGACUUAGCAUUGAUACCAGCAAGCUCAAAUAACAAAGAAUUGCACAGAGUAAAGGUUAUGAGGUUAUUUCACACUGAUUUUCUUAUUUCAACCAGGUGAAGAUAAGUAAUAUUAUUUAUAGUAGCUAUUACACAGAUGAAGAAACUAAGGUUAA